CUGCUCACUUCAGCAACACAUAUGUUAAAACUGGUAUGAUACAGAGAUUAGCAUUGUCUCUAUGCAAGGAUGACAUGCAAAUUUGUGAAGUGUUCCAUAUUUCU
ensembl:snRNA U6 U6 spliceosomal RNA